AGUCGAGCGAAUCUGAGGGAGCUUGCUCCCUGAGGUUAGCGGCGGAGGAUGGGUNACACGUGGGCAACCUGCCUAUAAGACUGGGAUAACUUAGGGAAACCGGAGCUAAUACCGGAUACGUUCUUUUCUCGCAUGANAGAAGAUGGAAAGACGGUUCCUGCCGUCACUUAUAGAUGGGCCCGCGGCGCAUUAGCUAGUUGGUGGGGUAAUGGCUCACCAAGGCGACNAUGCGUAGCCAACCCAACAGGGUGAUNGGCCACACUGGGACUGACACACCCCCCACACUCCUACG
rnacentral:rRNA from 1 species